rnacentral:rRNA from 1 species
UACGAAGGGGGCGAGCGUUGUUCGGAUUUACUGGGCGUAAAGGGCGCGUAGGCGGCCUUCUAAGUCGAACGUGAAAUCCCCGGGCUCAACCCGGGAACUGCGUCCGAUACUGGAAGGCUUGAAUCCGGGAGAGGGAUGUGGAAUUCCAGGUGUAGCGGUGAAAUGCGUAGAUAUCUGGAGGAACACCGGUGGCGAAGGCGACAUCCUGGACCGGUAUUGACGCUGAGGCGCGAAAGCCAGGGGAGCAAACGGG